UCCUCGGUAGCUCAGUUGGUAGUAGCGAGCGACUGUUAAUCGCUAGGGCGUCGGUUCGAGUCCGACCCGGGGAGCCA
rnacentral:tRNA from 2 species